rnacentral:rRNA from 1 species
CCUACGGGUGGCAGCAGUGAGGAAUAUUGGUCAAUGGACGCAAGUCUGAACCAGCCAUGCCGCGUGCAGGAAGACGGCUCUAUGAGUUGUAAACUGCUUUUGUACGAGGGUAAACGCAGAUACGCGUAUCUGUCUGAAAGUAUCGUACGAAUAAGGAUCGGCCAACUCCGUUCCAGCAGCCGCGGUAAUAAGGAGGAUUCAAGCGUUAACCGGAUUUAUUGGGUUUAAAGGGUGCGUAGGCGGUCGGAUAAGUUAGAGGUGAAAUCGCGAGGCUCAACUUCGGACUUGCCUCUGAUACUGGUCGGCUAGAGAGUAGGUGCGGUAGGCGGAAUGUGUGGGGUAGCGGUGAAAUGCUUAGAGAUCAUACAGAACACCGAUUGCGAAGGCAGCUUACCAGGCUACUUCUGACGUUGAGGCACGAAAGCGUGGGGAGCGAACAGGAUUAGAUACCCUAGUAGUC